rnacentral:sRNA from 1 species
GGUGGUGGUUGCGGGAACUACUCCUUUUUUGGCGGCUGAAGAUUCAGAGGAGGCAUUUUCUCCAAAGAGAGACAAGAAUCAGUCCUCGAUCCAUGCAAACUCGAAUCCAUUCCGCGGUUCGGGGGCUCUACAGAUGCAAAUGCACAGGACAAUGUACUAUACAUACAUCCAUGUACAUGUACAGUACAUGUACCUUGCUUCGUAUGUUGGCAUCCCAGCCUAAAAGGAAUAUGCUGAGGGUACUGGGCAACGCUGUAUAACACAUCCCCUGGGCUAUCCGCAAACCGGCGGGACAGCCGGUGACAAAAAGUAACCUGAAAAGGAAGUUUUGAUGAUUAGAUAGCAGGAAAGGCUUUCACGCCUGGUGUUUCUUUCUUUCCUUCCUUCAACAAUCAUAUUUUAUGUG